AAGUCGUAACAAGGUUUCCGUAGGUGAACCUGCGGAAGGAUCAUGAAUACGUAUCCAAACGUUAAAACCCCCCCCGUGAACCUUCAUCCUGCUCUUGUAACCCGCGUAGUUCGCAAUCUCUGAUAAAUCAUAGCCCGGAAAGUUGUAGUGAUCCUCAGUUGUAGUGAGUCCCCAUGCCCCCUAAUAACCCCAGUGUUUAAUGUGAAGCUCAAUGUAAUACAUUGGGUAAAAAAACCGAACAACUGUUAACAAUGGAUAUCUUGGUUCUC
rnacentral:misc_RNA from 1 species